rnacentral:antisense_RNA from 1 species
GGAAGAGGCUGCACAGUUAGAAAAGACGAAGAAGCGAGAAACGCCGCCGCUGCCGCCGCCGCAGGCCGGCCGGCUCCCCGAGGGCGCUGCCCCCGCGGCUGCUCACGGGCGCUGAGAGGGGCUUCAGGCCAGGCCGGGCCGGGCCGCGGCCGCCGCCGCCGCCGCCGCCGCCGUCUCUGUCUCUCAUCUCCCUCGCCUGAGCCCGGUCUCGCCUCACAGCGGCUCAACCUUCAAACUUCCAUCACGGCUGCAGCUUCUGAGAGGAGAGCAUCUUCUAGGAUCAUGUAGUCUGAGAUUAAAAAGAGUUUUACUUUUUCCUUUCCAACCUGGAAGCCUUUUAUUGCAAUUUCUUAUCUGACUGUACUGUCUGAUAUCUCCAGUGCAAGGUUGAAUAAAAGUAGUGAAAACAGACAUUGUUACUUUGCUACCAAAAUUAUAGGCAAGGCAUUCAGUCUUUUGAAGCUUUCAUGUUUAAGUUCUUCAGUUUUUGGACUCUUGGACUUAAACCAGUGAUUUGCCAGGGGCUCUUGGACCUUCGGCCACAGACUGAAGGCUGCACUGUCAACUUCCCUACUUUUGAUGUUUUGGGACUCAGACUGGCUUUCUGGCUCCUCAGCUUGCAGAAGACCUAUUGUGGGACUUUACCUUGUGUUUGUGAGUCCCAUGAAGGAGCAGGAAACUCAAUUGUGGAUGCACACAUUUUUCCCUUUAUUAAUGUUCAUGACUCCUCCUAUACCUUAUUGUAUAUCUAUAUUUGGCCAUUCCACUCAGCAUGUAUUUCUUUUCCCUUUGCCCCUCCCUAGACAUGUCUGUUUCUGGCUUCUUGCCAGAGGCUGUGUUUCCCAGCCUGUCAGAAUGGCCAAACUGCAGGCUGCAACCCUUUAUGAGAAAUAAAGCUCUCCCUUCCAAA